GAAAUUAUAAAUCUUUUGAGCUCCAUUAAAAUAAGAUUACGAGGAAUAAUGUAUUUUGAAAUGAAUUAAUCUAGGUCUCCGUAUGAUCCCCAUUAAUUUUCAUUUCAUUACAUUUCAUUUUUCUCUCAUCUAUUUCCAACCACAUAAUCUUCCAUAAAAUAAUAUUACACGUAAAUCGAAAAAAAUUUCUUAUUUUUCAACCAUUCAUUUUCCAAAAAUACAUUAUUCCACCCAUUUUCAUUUCCACAUAAUGAGGGCCAAAUGAGCGCUAGAGUGAUACAUAAUGAGAUGUAUCUAAGGGUGUAUACCCCCUCACAUAACGUGUGGGGUCCACUCGAAUAAAUAUUUUUUAUUCGGAUGGAUCCCACACCUUAUGUGAAAGGGGUGCACACGCUUAGGUACUAUAUACUAUUAACACCAUCGUUUUGAAAAAAUAAUUUUUUAAAAAAAAAUGUGUAGUUAAAAAUAAAAAGAAAUUGAAUUUACGUAUAAUUAGGACCCGUUUGUUUCUCAUUUUGGAAGAAUGAGAAUGAAAAAUAUAGUCGUUACGAGCUCGACACAAGUUAUAAAAAUUCAAAUUUGAUGGCUUGAUGUGAUGGAUAACGAUCAUUUUUUCAUUUUAAUGAGGAAAGAAUGUGAAACAAACGAGGGCUUAAUAUAUAUAUAUAUAUAUAUCUUUGACUGAUAUUUCAUCGUUGGCGGCUGUAUAGGCUGCGUGUGGGGCCUAUUUUCCACUCUCUUGAAAGCUUAAAAAUCCAUCAUCUCUGACUCUGACCAUCAUCAUCCAGCCAGCUUCAUCAUAUUUUUGAAAUUUCUCCACUUUAAAAGAAAAAUAUUCCACGACUAGAAAAGACGUCAGCAAUGACGAAUUAUCUAUCUCGACAAAACAUAGUGGAUAACUUGAUUCUAUUAUAAUUGCUAGCUAAAUGUGCUACGAUGAGAAAUAUAAAAGAUCAUGAAGCAUUUGAAAAUGUUACAUAGCAUAUUAUUAAUUUAUUUAUAAUAUUUCAUUUUCAAGAAUUGACUUAAACUCUAAUUGCUUGUUAAUAUUUUGUAAUUAUAAGAGGCAAAGCCUCUAAUUAUGUUAAUUUAUAAUUGAGUGUAAUUCCUAACCUUAAUUUUCAAAUAUUUUGGUCAAAUUUUUUUUAAAGGUUUACAUAGAGUUUCCUUAAAGUUACAAAAUUUUAUUAAAAAAGGAGAAAAAUUAACAAACUUUUAUGGAAUUUCCGAAAUGUGAUAAAAAUUAAAAUUAAAAUUAACAAUUAAUUUUAUUCACAUAUUUUAUUUGAUCCACAAUUUCUCAAUCAUACAUUUCAUCAAAACUUUGAUUUUUAUUAAAAUCAAAUCGGUGCAGAAUAAGCCCUUGUUUGAGUCACAUUCUUGUCAAAAAACGCAUUCUGAAUAGUGCUUUGAUGGAAAAUGUAUGGUUAAAAAAUAAAAAAAAUAAAA
rnacentral:lncRNA from 1 species